UUUUGGCAGCUGUAUUUCAUUGUGAUGCAUUAUGUCAGGGCACAUCAGUCACAUGAAGAUUUAUGGAAAAAAACAUACCCUUUUUAGAUGUCCCUCUCUGCAGUCCUCUUCAAAACACGGUGUUUUUUCAAGAAACUCAACAGAAGCUAUCAACAGUGUUAUGAUUCUUGAAACAUUUUUUCUAGGUGUCAGACAAUCCUGGAACUAAGAACCUCCAAACACAUUUCAUCCUCUGGUUUCCCUGAAACCUUUAGUUACACCUUGAAGUUACUGGAGUACAUGUUCUGUUCAAGUAACCAUAUAUAAAAUUGUCAUGAAGAUCAGCUGAGACCUCAUGGCAGAAAUCUCAUUUGAAACAACUGGAAGUUACUUCACCUUGGCUCAAGCCACAGCACAACACAUACCUUCUCCUCCUUCUCCAGCCCUGCUGAGCUCCUGAAGAUGCCUGGAAGAAUUUGCUGCAUUUCUGGCCCCAGAGGCUGUUAUGGAGAACACCAGUUGUGUGCAGUGUGCUGAAGUGGCAUUAUCUUCAUUUCAUUGAUAAGAAGAUUUACAUCCACAGAAAGCCAGACUGGAAGGUCUGGGGUAAGGACUGGGCCCAGAACUCCAGAUGAUAACCAGCUGCCUGCUUACGGUGGUAGCUCGAGUGGAUCUGUGUCACCCCAGAGUGACCCUGAAGAAAACUCGUGGAUCUGCAGAGGAAGAGAUGUCCAGGGUGUCACUUUAAGCAGGGCAUGUCUGGGUGUAUUGACCAUUGGCAGCAGUCCCACAUGAUGUCACAAGUCCCACACGGUGUGCGAGGUGGCAGCUGGAGCUGGGUGACACAGCCUGUGCAGCGUGGGCCCGUGGCCGUGGCGGCCGUGCAGCCUUGGCUGCCGUGCUGCGAGAGGAGCUGUGCUGACAGCUCCCUGCUCCCCUGGCGCUCCCUUCCUAACGAGGGAAGUGCAGAUGGGCCCGCUGGGUAUUGAGUAAACACUGCGAAAGGAGCUGCUUCAAUGGAUGGGGAUGUCUCUGUUCAAGUGCAAACAUUAUGUUUGUGUUUCAUUCUUUUGAUUUAGCUUUUAUAGUGCUUAUUAAAACAACA